CGUAGGGGCGAGCGUUGUCCGGAUUUAUUGGGCGUAAAGAGCUCGUAGGUGGCUGUUCAAGUCGGGUGUGAAAUCCCAAGGCUCAACCUUGGGUCUGCAUUCGAUACUGGGUGGCUUGAGUCUGGUAGGGGGACCUGGAAUUCCUGGUGUAGCGGUGGAAUGCGCAGAUAUCAGGAGGAACACCGGUGGCGAAGGCGGGGUCCUGGGCCAGUACUGACGCUGAGGAGCGAAAGCGUGGGGAGCAAACAGGAUUAGAUACCCUGGUAGUCCACGCUGUAAACGAUGGGUGCUAGGUGUGGGGGGUUAGUCGACUCCUUCCGUGCCGCAGCUAACGCAGUAAGCACCCCGCCUGGGGAGUACGGCCGCAAGGCUA
rnacentral:rRNA from 1 species